rnacentral:rRNA from 1 species
GACGGGGGGGGCAAGCGUUGUUCGGAAUUACUGGGCGUAAAGGGCUCGUAGGUGGCCAACUAAGUCAGACGUGAAAUCCCGAGGCUCAACCUCGGGUCUGCAGUCGAUACGAGCAAACUAGAGUGUUGCAGGGGAGACUGGAAUUCCUGGUGUAGCGGUGAAAUGCGCAGAUAUCAGGAGGAACACCGGUGGCGAAGGCGGGUCUCUGGGCAACAACUGACGCUGAGGAGCGAAAGCGUGGGGAGCGAACAGG